GACGUAGGGCGCAAGCGUUGUUCGGAUUUAUUGGGCGUAAAGAGCUCGUAGGCGGCUUGUCGCGUCGACUGUGAAAAACCACGACUCAACCGUGGGACUGCAGUCGAUACGGGCAGGCUAGAGUUCGGUAGGGGAGACUGGAAUUCCUGGUGUAGCGGUGAAAUGCGCAGAUAUCAGGAGGAACACCGGUGGCGAAGGCGGCUUCCUGGACCGACACUGACGCUGAGGCGCGAAAGCUAGGGGAGCAAACGGG
rnacentral:rRNA from 1 species